rnacentral:tRNA from 1 species
AAAAUCCGUCGACUUGAAAAAUCG